AUUCCAGCUCCAAUAGCGUAUAUUUAAGUUGUUGCAGUUAAAAAGCUCGUAGUUGGACCUUGGGACGUCACGGUCGGUCCGCCUUCUUGGUGUGCACUGGCCCUCACGUCCCUUCUGCCGGCGGCGUGUUCCUGGCCUUAAUUGGCUGGGUCGCGGUUCCGGCGCCGUUACUUUGAAAAAAUUAGAGUGCUCAAAGCAAGCCUACGCUCUGAAUACAUUAGCAUGGAAUAACGCGAUAGGAGUCUGGUCCUGUUCCGUUGGCCUUCGGGACCGGAGUAAUGAUUAAUAGGGACUGUCGGGGGCAUUCGUAUUUCAUUGUCAGAGGUGAAAUUCUUGGAUUUAUGGAAGACGAACCACUGCGAAAGCAUUUUCCAAGGAUGUUUUCAUCA
rnacentral:rRNA from 1 species